GUGGGGAAUAUUGCACAAUGGGCGCAAGCCUGAUGCAGCCAUGCCGCGUGUAUGAAGAAGGCCUUCGGGUUGUAAAGUACUUUCAGCGAGGAGGAAGGCAUUAAGGUUAAUAACCUUAGUGAUUGACGUUACUCGCAGAAGAAGCACCGGCUAACUCCGUGCCAGCAGCCGCGGUAAUACGGAGGGUGCAAGCGUUAAUCGGAAUUACUGGGCGUAAAGCGCACGCAGGCGGUCUGUUAAGUCAGAUGUGAAAUCCCCGGGCUCAACCUGGGAACUGCAUUUGAAACUGGCAGGCUUGAGUCUUGUAGAGGGGGGUAGAAUUCCAGGUGUAGCGGUGAAAUGCGUAGAGAUCUGGAGGAAUACCGGUGGCGAAGGCGGCCCCCUGGACAAAGACUGACGCUCAGGUGCGAAAGCGUGGGGAGCAAACAGGAUUAGAAACCCCGGUAGUCC
rnacentral:rRNA from 1 species